CAAGCCCUCGAGGAAACUAAAUGAACAGAACACGAAGAAGAAAGGACAGGAAAACGAUAAGAAGUUUCGAAACUAAUCUAGAUUUGCCCCAGGAGUGCAGGAAGAUGGCAAGAAUGAUGAAAGUCGACUCGGAGGAUGCCUAAGGCCGAGGAGGAUGCUAGAGGAAGCUGGAGCUCUUGGAGAAAAGGAGGGGAACCGAGGGAUUCACUCAGGCAAAAUGAAACCCCUGA
rnacentral:lncRNA from 1 species